UUAAGCGACUAAGCGUACACGGUGGAUGCCCUGGCAGUCAGAGGCGAUGAAGGACGUGCUAAUCUGCGAUAAGCGUCGGUAAGGUGAUAUGAACCGUUAUAACCGGCGAUUUCCGAAUGGGGAAACCCAGUGUGUUUCGACACACUAUCAUUAACUGAAUCCAUAGGUUAAUGAGGCGAACCGGGGGAACUGAAACAUCUAAGUACCCCGAGGAAAAGAAAUCAACCGAGAUUCCCCCAGUAGCGGCGAGCGAACGGGGAGCAGCCCAGAGCCUGAAUCAGUAUGUGUGUUAGUGGAAGCGUCUGGAAAGGCGCGCGAUACAGGGUGACAGCCCCGUACACAAAAAUGCACAUGCUGUGAGCUCGAUGAGUAGGGCGGGACACGUGGUAUCCUGUCUGAAUAUGGGGGGACCAUCCUCCAAGGCUAAAUACUCCUGACUGACCGAUAGUGAACCAGUACCGUGAGGGAAAGGCGAAAAGAACCCCGGCGAGGGGAGUGAAAAAGAACCUGAAACCGUGUACGUACAAGCAGUGGGAGCACGCUUAGGCGUGUGACUGCGUACCUUUUGUAUAAUGGGUCAGCGACUUAUAUUCUGUAGCAAGGUUAACCGAAUAGGGGAGCCGAAGGGAAACCGAGUCUUAACUGGGCGUUAAGUUGCAGGGUAUAGACCCGAAACCCGGUGAUCUAGCCAUGGGCAGGUUGAAGGUUGGGUAACACUAACUGGAGGACCGAACCGACUAAUGUUGAAAAAUUAGCGGAUGACUUGUGGCUGGGGGUGAAAGGCCAAUCAAACCGGGAGAUAGCUGGUUCUCCCCGAAAGCUAUUUAGGUAGCGCCUCGUGAAUUCAUCUCCGGGGGUAGAGCACUGUUUCGGCAAGGGGGUCAUCCCGACUUACCAACCCGAUGCAAACUGCGAAUACCGGAGAAUGUUAUCACGGGAGACACACGGCGGGUGCUAACGUCCGUCGUGAAGAGGGAAACAACCCAGACCGCCAGCUAAGGUCCCAAAGUCAUGGUUAAGUGGGAAACGAUGUGGGAAGGCCCAGACAGCCAGGAUGUUGGCUUAGAAGCAGCCAUCAUUUAAAGAAAGCGUAAUAGCUCACUGGUCGAGUCGGCCUGCGCGGAAGAUGUAACGGGGCUAAACCAUGCACCGAAGCUGCGGCAGCGACACUAUGUGUUGUUGGGUAGGGGAGCGUUCUGUAAGCCUGUGAAGGUGUGCUGUGAGGCAUGCUGGAGGUAUCAGAAGUGCGAAUGCUGACAUAAGUAACGAUAAAGCGGGUGAAAAGCCCGCUCGCCGGAAGACCAAGGGUUCCUGUCCAACGUUAAUCGGGGCAGGGUGAGUCGACCCCUAAGGCGAGGCCGAAAGGCGUAGUCGAUGGGAAACAGGUUAAUAUUCCUGUACUUGGUGUUACUGCGAAGGGGGGACGGAGAAGGCUAUGUUGGCCGGGCGACGGUUGUCCCGGUUUAAGCGUGUAGGCUGGUUUUCCAGGCAAAUCCGGAAAAUCAAGGCUGAGGCGUGAUGACGAGGCACUACGGUGCUGAAGCAACAAAUGCCCUGCUUCCAGGAAAAGCCUCUAAGCAUCAGGUAACAUCAAAUCGUACCCCAAACCGACACAGGUGGUCAGGUAGAGAAUACCAAGGCGCUUGAGAGAACUCGGGUGAAGGAACUAGGCAAAAUGGUGCCGUAACUUCGGGAGAAGGCACGCUGAUAUGUAGGUGAAGUCCCUCGCGGAUGGAGCUGAAAUCAGUCGAAGAUACCAGCUGGCUGCAACUGUUUAUUAAAAACACAGCACUGUGCAAACACGAAAGUGGACGUAUACGGUGUGACGCCUGCCCGGUGCCGGAAGGUUAAUUGAUGGGGUUAGCCGCAAGGCGAAGCUCUUGAUCGAAGCCCCGGUAAACGGCGGCCGUAACUAUAACGGUCCUAAGGUAGCGAAAUUCCUUGUCGGGUAAGUUCCGACCUGCACGAAUGGCGUAAUGAUGGCCAGGCUGUCUCCACCCGAGACUCAGUGAAAUUGAACUCGCUGUGAAGAUGCAGUGUACCCGCGGCAAGACGGAAAGACCCCGUGAACCUUUACUAUAGCUUGACACUGAACAUUGAGCCUUGAUGUGUAGGAUAGGUGGGAGGCUUAGAAGUGUGGACGCCAGUCUGCAUGGAGCCGACCUUGAAAUACCACCCUUUAAUGUUUGAUGUUCUAACGUUGACCCGUAAUCCGGGUUGCGGACAGUGUCUGGUGGGUAGUUUGACUGGGGCGGUCUCCUCCUAAAGAGUAACGGAGGAGCACGAAGGUUGGCUAAUCCUGGUCGGACAUCAGGAGGUUAGUGCAAUGGCAUAAGCCAGCUUGACUGCGAGCGUGACGGCGCGAGCAGGUGCGAAAGCAGGUCAUAGUGAUCCGGUGGUUCUGAAUGGAAGGGCCAUCGCUCAACGGAUAAAAGGUACUCCGGGGAUAACAGGCUGAUACCGCCCAAGAGUUCAUAUCGACGGCGGUGUUUGGCACCUCGAUGUCGGCUCAUCACAUCCUGGGGCUGAAGUAGGUCCCAAGGGUAUGGCUGUUCGCCAUUUAAAGUGGUACGCGAGCUGGGUUUAGAACGUCGUGAGACAGUUCGGUCCCUAUCUGCCGUGGGCGCUGGAGAACUGAGGGGGGCUGCUCCUAGUACGAGAGGACCGGAGUGGACGCAUCACUGGUGUUCGGGUUGUCAUGCCAAUGGCACUGCCCGGUAGCUAAAUGCGGAAGAGAUAAGUGCUGAAAGCAUCUAAGCACGAAACUUGCCCCGAGAUGAGUUCUCCCUGACUCCUUGAGAGUCCUGAAGGAACGUUGAAGACGACGACGUUGAUAGGCCGGGUGUGUAAGCGCAGCGAUGCGUUGAGCUAACCGGUACUAAUGAACCGUGAGGCUUAACCUU
rnacentral:rRNA from 1 species